ACGUAGGGAGCGAGCGUUGUCCGGAUUUACUGGGUGUAAAGGGUGCGUAGGCGGGUUUGCAAGUCAGACGUGAAAUGCCGGGGCUUAACCCCGGAGCUGCGUUUGAAACUGUAGAUCUUGAGUGAAGUAGAGGCAGGCGGAAUUCCUAGUGUAGCGGUGAAAUGCGUAGAUAUUAGGAGGAACACCAGUGGCGAAGGCGGCCUGCUGGGCUUUAACUGACGCUGAGGCACGAAAGCAUGGGGAGCAAACAG
rnacentral:rRNA from 1 species